rnacentral:lncRNA from 1 species
GCUUGCUUUCAGCUCCCGAAUUUUUAUUGUCUGUACUUUUCCUGUAGUGAAGUAGUUUCAUAGCUCAGCAAAGCCUCAGAAUUUUUUAUGAACAGUCUCUAAAAGGCAGCUAGAUCUAGCUCUAAGACAUCAAGCAAAUGACCCAGGACUUGUUAUUUUUCUUGUUGGUUUCUGCGUAGCUAAGGCAAAGGCUUUUUCUUGGCCUCCACUCAGCAAUAUGCAAAAAGCUGAAGCUUUUAAAGUGGGAGAAGAAACAGAAGGAACAGAGGAGAACAAAACCCGCACAAAGAAGACUCUCAGGAAAUGCUGGCUGAAUGACAGAAUGAACAUUGAUAAAUGAAGACUUCUUCAAAUAACUGAUGCUAGACAUCUCUAAAUAUAUCAGAAAUAACAUGUGACCAUGACAUCAUUCAUCAUUUUUCCAUCAAAACAUUUGAAAAUAACUUGGAUUCAUUUAUUAGAGCUUUAUUUUCCCACAUCUUGCAGUACCCUAGAGUUCUACAGUAAUUAACCUUAUGCUGAAUGGCAGAGGACAUGCACUAAGCUCCUAUUUAAAAUCUAUUCAUGAUGCAUUUUAAAUAUUCAGUAGAGACUUCUUAAACAUGCAGCCAUAGUCUAUUGAAAAUGGAUUUCCUAAAGCCAGGAGAUUGGAUAUUAAUAUCUGGCAUUCGUAUAAAGACAGGUUUUUGUUAACCUAUUAUAAAAAGGACUGAUGAUGUGAUUAUAUACUGUUUACUAGCUCACUUAUAUUUCUGUGCUAAUAAUUACUGUAACCCAUUUGUUUAGUUUUUUUAUUUUAUUUUCAUUAAGCAUUGUUUUUAAAAUUUUUUUAUCUUAGCUUAUGUUUGAUUUAUGUUUUUGAUUGAAUAAAGGUUGUUUGUUAAUAUAGAAU